AAGUCGUAACAAGGUUUCCGUAGGUGAACCUGCGGAAGGAUCAUUACUGAGAAGGGGUCCUCCGGGCCCAACCUUCCACCCGAUGUCUUCGUUACCUUGUUUCUUUGGCCGGCCCCGGCCGGCCAGAAGCACACCGAAACUCGUUAUGAAACGUGUCAUUCUGAAUCACAAAGCAAAUAAAGCAAAACUUUCAACAACGGAUCUCUUGGUUCUG
rnacentral:misc_RNA from 1 species